rnacentral:ncRNA from 1 species
UUUACUAUGAGUUAGGGAUUGUAUGGACAUCCUUUUGCGUUUUUAGCAAAAGAUAGAAAGGAAAGCCCGCCCACGC